GGCUCUUAGAUUUAUAAUUAAGAGUCUGGCCUGCUCAGUGGAAAAUUAUUUUCUCAACAGCUAUGGUACCCUGACCAUACAAAGGUAGCAUAAUCAGUUGCCCCUUAAUUAGGGGCUGGUAUGAACGGUAUGACGAGAAUACUGCUGUUUCUUUCUAAUUCUGUUGAAAUUGUUUUUUAGGUGAAAAAACCUUGAUUUUAAUAUAUGACAAAAAGACCCUAUAAAGCUUUUUUUUAGUGUGUAGAGAAUUUGUUCUAUACAUAGAGUUUAGUUGGGGCGACUCUAGAAUAAAAAAAACUUCUAGUAGUUAUGUAAAAAAUUUACAAAUUUGUGACCAGAAAAAAAAUUUUUAUAUUAAAGGGAAAGUUACUUUAGGGAUAACAGGGCACUUCUUUUAUUGAGCACGUAUCUAAUAAGGAGUUUGCUACCUCGAUGUUGGAUUAAGGUAUCCUGGGGGUGUAUCCGCUCCAAAAGGUUGGUUUGUUAACCAUUAAAACCUUACAU
rnacentral:rRNA from 1 species